UACGUAGGGUGCGAGCGUUAAUCGGAAUUACUGGGCGUAAAGCGUGCGCAGGCGGUUCUCCAAGUCCGGUGUGAAAGCCCCGGGCUCAACCUGGGAAUGGCAGUGGAAACUAGGGGACUUGAAUCUGGCAGAGGGGGGUGGAAUUCCACGUGUAGCAGUGAAAUGCGUAGAGAUGUGGAGGAACACCGAUGGCGGAGGCAGCCCCCUGGGCUGAGAUUGACGCUCAGGCACGAAAGCGUGGGGAGCAAACAGG
rnacentral:rRNA from 1 species